GAACGACGACAUAAACAAGGCCAUCGACAACAACGUACGAUAACAACAACAACGUACGAUAACAACGACGACGACGUCCGACGACGUCCGACGACGACGACGACAAUAUCAUCAACAACAACAACGACAACAACAACGACAAUAUCAUCAACAACAACAACGACAAUAUCAUCAACAACAACAACGACAAUAUCAUCAACAACAACAACGACAAUAUCAUCAACAACAACAACAACAACGACAAUAUCAUCAACAACAACAACAACGACAAUAUCAUCAACAACAACAACGGCAGCAACGACAAUAUCAUCAACGGCAGCAACGACAAUAUCAUCAACAACAACAACGGCAGCAACGACAAUAUCAUCAACAACAACAACGGCAGCAACGACAACAUCAACAGCGACAACAUCAACAGCGACAACAUCAAGAAUAGCAGAAACGAAACGACAACAACAACAACGAUGACGACAAAAAACGACAACAUCAACAGCAACAACAAUACCAACAACAACAACAAUAUCAACAACAACGACAACAAUAUCAACACCACUAUUACCACCACAACAACAACAUCUACCAGAACAACAACGAUAACGACGGCAACAACAAUGACAACAACAACAGCGACAACGACAAAAACAACAAUUACGACGAAGACGACGUCAACGACAGCAAUAACAACGGUAACAACAACAGCAACGACGACAACAGCAACGACGACAACAGCAACGACGACAACAGCAACGACGACAACAGCAACGACGACAAGAACAACAAUUAGGAACGAAGACGACUACAACAACAGCAAUGACAACGGUAACGACAACAACAAAAACAACGAUAAUGGUGACAACAACAAAGACAACGACAACAGCGACGACGACAACAAGAACAACCGCAACAGGAACAUCAGCAACAAUAACAAUAACAGCGAGAACAACAACGACAACACCAACACUGCCGCCAACAACAUAAAACAUUUUAAAUUAGUGCUAAAAUUGUUACCAAUGUAAAGUUGUUUAGACAGAGCUGAUACAAAAAGAAACGCUACGUGACUGGACUUCGUGACGUUAAGGCCGAUUUACACUACAAAACGUAUGCCUAAAACUGUCACAUGCAACCUGCUUACAACUUGAGUUGUACUGUGUAAAUCAAGCACACAACACAACUCGCCUGCGUUGUCGUAGCAGGUGAGUUGUGAGCUUGAUUUACACAGUACAACUCAAGUUGUAAGCGGGUUGCACGCGGCCAACAGUUUUAGGUAAAAGUUGUGUGGUGUAAAUCGUCCUUUACGACUUACGAUCUAGGCUCAGAUUCCAGCCUUUGGGUUCUCUCUCGCACUCAGUUAGGGGGGCGAGUGCGAGAGAGAACCCAACGGCUGGAAUCUGAGCCUACUUACGAUGCGGUUGAGCGAAAAACUUGGAUUCAGAUGUUUUCUUAAUAUCGGUAGACGGCCAAAAACAAUCGUGACAUCGAAACCGCAGCCACAUUCCGCCUUAUUAUUAACGAUUAUGCAAGUAUUGACUUUGUAAGUAAUCCGCUUAAUCACUUUAAUUAAUAACAUAUUACAAACAUCAGGCGACAGUGACGUUGACCUCCUGGCUAGCAAACAAUAUUCAUCCCAUUUCGUUCAUUUUUCAUUGCUUAAGAGUAUGUUAUGUACUAUUUAAAACACGAGCAGAGGUGCUUUAUCAGGUAUAAAACUUGAGGCGACAGCCGAGUAUUUUAUUACUUUUAAAUCUGAUAAAGCACGGACGAAAUAAAGAUUCGAAAAUACUGAAUAAAGGCCCAUUUCCACUCAGGAAAAAUUUCCACGGACAGAAAACUUUCAAAUAUCAAUUGUUAAAAGUUCAAAAUUAUCAACUUUUUUUCCGACGGAAAAUUUGUGUCGGCCAGUCACAUUUUACAAAAUUUUCUUUCUGUGAAUGGAAAUGGGCGUUACAGUAAGACUAUACUUUAGGGAGCGGUCAUUAUUUAUGGUGGAGUGGCACCGAAGAGAAAAUGGUUGGGUAAACAAAAUUUUGAGUUAGUAAAAGGUUGGGUAAAUGAAAAACAAAAAAACUCAAGGGUUGGGUAAGAAAAAAAUGUUGUCACUUCCAAAGCAUGUCUUACUAAAAUAUUGAAG
rnacentral:lncRNA from 1 species